rnacentral:rRNA from 1 species
UACGUAGGCAGCGAGCGUUGUUCGGAGUUACUGGGCGUAAAGCGUGCGUAGGCGGUUGUCUAAGUUUGGUGUGAAAUCUCCCGGCUCAACUGGGAGGGUGCGCCGAAAACUGGGUGACUGGAGUGUCGGAGAGGUAAGCGGAAUUCCUGGUGUAGCGGUGAAAUGCGUAGAUAUCGGGAGGAAUACCUAUGGCGAAAGCAGGCUACUGGACCGUCACUGACUCUGAUCUGCGAAAGCUAGGGGAGCAAACAGG